UCACAGGUUCAAGACUUCAGUGGAGGAAAUAACUGUAGAUAUAGUGGAAAUAGCAAGAGAACUAGAAUUAGAAGUGUAGCCUGAAGAUGUGACAGAAUUGCUGCAUUCUUAUGAUAAAAUUUGAAUGGAUGAGAAGUUGCUUCUUAUGGAUGAGUAAAGAAAGUGGUUUCUUAGGAUGAAAUCUACUCCUGGGGAAGAUGCUGUGAAAUUGUUGAAAUAACAGCAAAGAAUUUAGAAUGUCACAUAAACUUGACUGAUAAAGCAGUGGCAGAGUUUGAGAGGAUUGACUCCAACUUUGAGAGUUCUGUGGGUAAAAUGCUAUUAAACAGCAUCACAUACCACAGAGAAAUAGUUCAUGAAAGGAAGAAUCAACUGAUGCAGCAAACUUCAGUGUUGUCAUGUUUUAAGAAAUUGCCACAGCCACCUGAGCCUUCAGCAGUUAUCACCCUAAUCAGCCAUGAGUCAGCAGACAUUAAGCCAUUCACUCAGUAAAUAUGUUCCAGUUUGGAGCUGAUCUCAACAAUGAUGUGUUAUGCCUUAGCAUCAGCCUGAAGCAUACGCACUGCUGCAGUGAGCCAGUCUUCUGAGCUGUUUCACCCAGGAAUGCAUUCAGACCAACUGCAGAAGAAUGAAAGAAGUGUCAAAUAGUUAAAGAAUCUAGCCCACACAGAAAGGGAGCUUCUGGUCAGGAGUUCUUCAGAGAGGAUAUGGUGGGUAUUUACUUGGGCCUCAAGGGUCCAGCUUCAGGUUCUUUGCCAUCAGUGGUGGAGACCAGUGAUACACAGCAAGGAACACGUCUUGGAACUACUGAUCCUGACCAUCCUGCCCAAGAACUCCAGGCCUGGGUAUAGGAGCAUCCCAGAGUAUAGGAAAGAGGCUGUCUGUACUGAAGAACUUGGAGAGGAAGCUGAAUGAUCUGAGAGGAAAGGUAAAAUGAAGAAAUGUCUUAUCAGAUAGCAGAUAUUAUCUCCAGAGAGAGAUAAGAGAGUUGAGAUAACUUCUCUAGCGUAGUUAGAGAAAAUGGCUAACAUGUUAUUGGCCAGAGUUAUUUAUUUUUGUUCUAGUUUGGUGAGUUUUUUUUAACUUGUAGGCCCUGUGUAUUUUCCCCUCUUUGUCUGUGUAUCCCUGCCCUUGCAGAUGACAGAAAACUGCUUUCUGCCCUCCCAUCGUGUGUUCCACAGUAAUAAUGGGAUUUUAAGCUCUAACUUUCAGCAAAUGUCACCCUCAUUAAACUCCAUCUAAUUGUGCCCAGUUCCCCACCCUCCUACAGGGGACAAGAAGUGUCCCAACGCAAAUAGUGUAUCUGGCAGCCUCAUAGGACUCAACUGGAGUCCGGCUCCAGCCAGUAAAGGGUCAACUCAGCUCUGAAUGUUGGGAGUUUCACACUGUUAAGGAGAACGCUGAGGAGGAGAUAGCAAAGAAGAAGUUAGGAAAUGUUGGUGUCUUUUUGCAUUUUUCCAAAUGAACCUUGUCACUAAAAUCUCUGCAUACCUUUCAUUUAAUCUCUAUUGCCUAUUCCACUUUUAACCUGUUCCUCUAAGCAUACCACUUUAGCCUGGAUUAUGAUUCUUUUCUUUCUUCACUUCUUUGCCUUAAAAUUGUUUUUUUUAAAAAAUCCUGCUACUCAUGUUACCUUGCAUGGUUCAGUUUCUCCCUUCUAAUACUGCCAACUUCCUUAACCCAGACCUCUUAUCGCAAAGACAGGAGAAUGUUUUUCUAUAUUGAAGCCAAUAGAAAACUACUAAAAGGCUACAUGCAAUUAGUAAAUUUUUAAAUGUACAUUUUUUAAAUGAGUGUAGGAAACAUAAAACUUUAGUAGGUGCAUGCUUACUGGGAAAGCACGCAUGCAUGCUAAAAUGUCAUUGUACAGUACAUAUUGUUUACCACUUGUUUUUUAGUUUAAUAUUACAUUAUGGAUAUCUUUUCAAGUUACAUAUAAUACCUAUAUGUAGCUGACAUACAUUUCACUGCAAGGGUAUUGAAUUAUUUUGUAACUGGCCUUAGAGGGUUUUUACAUUGCUGCUUUUUUCUUUUUUUAAAUACUACCAACUAAAAGCCAUAAACUCUUUUCUUUUUCUUUUUUUCUUCACUCUGUACUAUGAAAAAAGUUUAAGCAUAUAUAAAAGUACAAUUGUACUACUUCUAAUAAAUCCCCACAAACCUGUCACCCAGCUUCAACAUUAUCAGAUUAUGGCCAAACUUGUUUCACUUACAACUCUACUCAUAUCCCAUGCUUUUAUAUAUAUAUAAUUUUAAAGCAUAUCUGAGCUAGCAUAGUCUUUCAAAUGUAAAUAUUUCAAUAUUUGCUGUAAAAGAUAUGAAUUUUAAAAAUGUAAACAUAAUACUAUUUUCAUACCUAAACAAUUAACAGUAAUUCCUUAAUAUCAAUUUUCCAGUUUUCUCAAAGAUGUCAUAAACUUUUUUUUGUUCAUUUUGUUUUUUAACUUAUUUGAAUCAAGAUCCAAGGAAGAAAACACAUUGUGAUGGGUUGAUAUGUCUCCUAAGUUUCUUUUAAUAUAUGGGUACCCUCUCCUGUUUUCUCUUCCAACUCACUUGUUAAAGAAAAUGAAGUUGUUUGUCCUGUAGAGUUGCACACAGCAUGGGUUUUGCUGUCUGCAUCAUGUGCUAUAGUCUAAGAUGUUCUGUUGUCCUCUGUAUUUUCUGUAAAUUGUAGUAAUGUACAGGCUUGAUCAAAAUCAAGUUUUAAGUUUUUUUGACCAGAUAAAUUUAAUGAUUUUGGCAA
rnacentral:lncRNA from 1 species